rnacentral:rRNA from 1 species
AUCAACGCUGGCGGACGUGCCCUAACACAUGCAAGUCGAUGCGAGAAAGUGGAGCAAUACUACUGAGUCACAGCGGCUGACGGGUGAGUAACAUGUGACUAACCUACCCUCUAGUGGGGAACAACCCUCGGGAAUACCGGGGCUAAUACCGCAUAACAUCGUCGGUGUGAAAUUCCUGAUGAUCAAAGGAGCAAUUCGCUGGAGGAGGGGGUCUGCGGGUCGGAUUAGCUAGUUGGCGGGGUAACGGCCCCACCAAGGCGAUGAUCGAUAGCCGGCCUGAGAGGGCGCACGGCCACACUGGGAACUGUGAAAUACGGUUCCAGACUCCUAUCGGGACGGCAGCAGUGGGGAAUUUUUGCGCAAUGGGGGAAAACCCUGACGCAGCAUACGCCGCGUGGAGGAUGAAGUCCCUUGGGACGUAAACUCCUUUCGACCGGGACGAUAAUGACGUGUACCAGGGUGGAUAGAAAGCCCCGGCUAACUCCGUGCCAGCAUGCAUACCGCGGUAAUACGGGGGGGGCAAGCGUUGUUCGGAAUUAUUGGGCGUAAAGGGCCGCGUAGGCGGUGCUGGUAAGUCACCUGUGAAAUCUCCGGGCUCAACUCGGAGCUUGCAGGGCGAAACUGCCGUGCUGGAGUGUGGGAGAGGUGCGUGGAAUUCCCGGUGUAGCGGUGAAAUGCGUAGAUAUCGGGAGGAGCACCUGUGGCGUAAAGCGGCGCACUGGACCACAACUGACGCUGAGGCGCGAAAGCUAGGGGAGCAAAACAGGAUUAGAUACCCUGGUAGUCCUAGCCCUAAACGAUGGAUGCUUGGUGUAGCCGGUACCCAAUCCGGCUGUGCCGCAGUUAACGCGAUUUAGCAUCCCGCCUGGGGAUACGGUCGCAAGGCUGAAACUCAAAGGAAUUGACGGGGGCACCGCACAAGCGGUGGAGCAUGUGGUUCAAUUCGACGCAACGCGAAGAACCUUACCUGGGCUCGAAGCGCAGUGGACCGGUGGUGGAAACAUCCCUUUCCGCAAGGACUGCUGCGGAGGUGCUGCAUAGGCUGUCGUCAGCUCGUGUCGUGAGAUGUGGGGGUGUAAGUCCCGCAACGAGCGCAACCCUUAUUGCCAGUUGCCAGCGGGUUAUGCCGGGCACUCUGGCGAAGCUGCCCCGGAUAACGGGGAGGAAGGGUGGGGAGACGUCAAGUCCUCAUGGCCUUUAUGUCCAGGGCUACACACAGCUGCUACAAUGGCCGGUACAAAACCGUCGCAAACCCGUGAGGGGGAGCUAAUCGGAAAAGCCGGCCUCAGUUCGGAUUGGAGUCUGCAACUCGACUCCAUGAAGCUGAAUCGCUAGUAAUCGCGGAUCAGCACGACGCGCGUGAAUACGUUCCCGGGCCUUGUACAGCACCAGCCCGUCACAUCACGAAAGUGGGCUGUACUAGAAGUCGGUGCGCCUGACCGCAAGGAAGGGCAGCCGCCCAAGGGUAUAGCUCAUGCAUGGGGUG